rnacentral:rRNA from 1 species
GACGAACGCUGGCGGCGUGCUUAGCACAUGCAAGUCGAACGGAAAGGCCCUGCUUUUGUGGGGUGCUCGAGUGGCGAACGGGUGAGUAACACGUGAGUAACCUGCCCUUGACUUUGGGAUAACUUCAGGAAACUGGGGCUAAUACCGGAUAGGAGCUCCUGCUGCAUGGUGGGGGUUGGAAAGUUUCGGCGGUUGGGGAUGGACUCGCGGCUUAUAAGCUUGUUGGUGGGGUAGUGGCUUACCAAGGCUUUGACGGGUAGCCGGCCUGAGAGGGUGACCGGCCACAUUGGGACUGAGAUACGGCCCAGACUCCUACGGGAGGCAGCAGUGGGGAAUAUUGCACAAUGGGCGGAAGCCUGAUGCAGCAACGCCGCGUGCGGGAUGACGGCCUUCGGGUUGUAAACCGCUUUCGCCUGUGACGAAGCGUGAGUGACGGUAAUGGGUAAAGAAGCACCGGCUAACUACGUG